GUAAAUAAAGUAUGUUUGUACGGUUUAAUUACAAUAAAUAGGUUCUUUGGAUAUUUACU
rnacentral:tRNA from 1 species